AGCGCAGGCGGGAAGACAAGUUGGAAGUGAAAUCCAUGGGCUCAACCCAUGAACUGCUUUCAAAACUGUUUUUCUUGAGUAGUGCAGAGGUAGGCGGAAUUCCCGGUGUAGCGGUGGAAUGCGUAGAUAUCGGGAGGGAACACCAGUGGCGAAGGCGGCCUACUGGGCACCAACUGACGCUGAGGCUCGAAAGUGUGGGUAGCAAACA
rnacentral:rRNA from 1 species